ACGAACGCUGGCGGCGUGCUUCACACCUGCAAGUCGAACGGAAAGGCCCUGCUUUUGUGGGGUGCUCGAGUGGCGAACGGGUGAGUAACACGUGAGUAACCUGCCCUUGACUUUGGGAUAACUUCAGGAAACUGGGGCUAAUACCGGAUAGGAGCUCCUGCUGCAUGGUGGGGGUUGGAAAGUUUCGGCGGUUGGGGAUGGACUCGCGGCUUAUCAGCUUGUUGGUGGGGUAGUGGCUUACCAAGGCUUUGACGGGUAGCCGGCCUGAGAGGGUGACCGGCCACAUUGGGACUGCGAUACGGCCCAGACUCCUACGGGAGGCAGCAGUGGGGAAUAUUGCACAAUGGGCGGAAGCCUGAUGCAGCAACGCCGCGUGCGGGAUGACGGCCUUCGGGUUGUAAACCGCUUUCGCCUGUGACGAAGCGUGAGUGACGGUAAUGGGUAAAGAAGCACCGGCUAACUACGUG
rnacentral:rRNA from 1 species